UACAGAGGGUGCAAGCGUUGUUCGGAAUUAUUGGGCGUAAAGCGCGUGUAGGCGGCUUUGCAAGUCGGGUGUGAAAGCCCUCAGCUCAACUGAGGAAGUGCGCCCGAAACUGCAGAGCUUGAGUACCGGAGAGGAUGGUGGAAUUCCCCAAGUAGAGGUGAAAUUCGUAGAUAUGGGGGAGGAACACCGGUGGCGAAGGCGACCAUCUGGACGGAUACUGACGCUGAGACGCGAAAGCGUGGGGAGCGAACAGG
rnacentral:rRNA from 1 species